ACGUUUCUGAAUCCGUGCCGAGUUCUCGUCAGAUGCCAACCCAUGAAGGCUGAUGAGACCCCCAUGAUAAAUGAAUUG
rfam:Schistosoma curassoni strain Dakar, Senegal genome assembly, scaffold: SCTD_contig0000828